UUCUGCAGUGGACGAAGGGAAAAGUACCCUUCCCUGUGUUCAACAACUGAAAUUCAGGGUGCACAAGGCUGGCAUCAGAAAUCCACAGAUGGAUGGUACCAAACAAGGAGCAAUUCUUUAUCAGAUACCAUCCAUUUUGCAGGACAAGCUGCAUGGAUAAGAUGACAAGCUGCAGGAGGCAGGGGAGAGUCCAGGGACUGCAGUGGGGAGCUGCAGGAGGCAGGAGAGAGUCCAGGGACUGCAGUGGGGAGCUGCAGGAGGCAGGAGAGAGUCCAGGGACUGCAGUGGGGAGCUGCAGGAGGCAGGAGAGAGUCCAGGGACUGCAGUGGGGAGCUGCAGGAGGCAGGAGAGAGUCCAGGAGCUGCAGUGGGGAGCUGCAGGAGGCAGGAGAGAGUCCAGGGACUGCAGUGGGGAGCUGCAGGAGGCAGGGGAGAGUCCAGGGACUGCAGUGGGGAGCUGCAGGUGUCAGGAGAGAGUCCAGGGACUGCAGUGGGGAGCUGCAGGAGGCAGGGGAGAGUCCAGGAGCUGCAGUGGGGAGCUGCAGGAGUCAGGGGAGAGUCCAGGGACUGCAGUGGGGAGCUGCAGGUGUCAGGAGAGAGUCCAGGGACUGCAGUAGGGAGCUGCAGGAGUCAGGGGAGAGUCCAGGGACUGCAGUGGGGAGCUGCAGGAGUCAGGGGAGAGUCCAGGGACUGCAGUGGGGAGCUACAGGAGGCAGGAGAGAGUCCAGGGGCUACAGUACUUUAGCAAAAUAAUGAACAUCCCAGGACUGAGACCUUCUGAAUAUUGAGGUCAGAUCCUGUUUCCACUCAGUGAAUAUGGCUGAUUUGUUUAGCUUCUUUGAUCUUCCUCCAUAAAAGAGACCAUCAUUGUGUAUUUUCUAAAAACACUGACAGAGUCUUGAACUCCUGAUUCUCUUGCCUGUAACUACAAAGAUAUUACUGGACCAGAAGCAGAGUGAGGAACUUCCAUGCAGACAUGACUGCAGAAAAGACUCUUCUGUGAAGAAGAAACUCCAGG